rnacentral:lncRNA from 10 species
GCGUGAGCCACUGCACCUGGACUCAUAAGUGCUAAUGAAGGCACGGGACAUUUUAAGCCAUUGGAAAAGAAGUUUGUUCGAGUUUCAGGAGAAGCAACUAUUGGACAUGUAGAAAAAUUCCUCAGAAGAAAAAUGGGUCUUGAUCCAGCUUGUCAGGUAGAUAUAAUCUGUGGUGAUCACCUGUUGGAGCAGUAUCAAACUCUAAGGGAAAUCCGACGUGCAAUAGGUGAUGCAGCAAUGCAGGAUGGUCUGCUUGUCCUUCAUUAUGGUCUUGUGGUUUCUCCUCUGAAGAUAACUUGAAGAUUCUAGGCACAUUAUGAGGAGGGAAACAAAGGAGGCUUCUGCAGGACUGCAUCUCACCAAAGAUUUCCAUGAAAUGUAAUUGCUACCACUUUGCUGUUCAAGACAUAACUUACCUAUUUUUAGCACCAAGAAUUAUAGCGUUUAUAAGUACAACUUGGAACGAUGGAAUGCAUCUGUUACUAGAGACUGUAUAUAAAAAGCAGCCAAAGCUCAGGGGAAAUUUUUCAAAAAUUGAAUUUUAAAAUUUCUUAUGAUUUUAAAUACCUUGACAUUGAUUUUGCUUCCCAUCUUUGAAGUAAUUGGUUAGUUUUCUUUGUUCAGCCAUUUCAAGUUGGUGGUUGGGAUAUCUGCUCUCUGGGAUGGCAUCAGUUGGGCAGUCAUCUUUUUGGAAGAGAAGUGUGCUUUUGAGUGGAAGAUUCAAAGCCAGUCUUUGUUAAACUGCAGGGUGUACUCUCAAAGACCAAAACUAUUGGCCACUUUUGUAUGUUGCCAGCAUAUUUUGAACUUGUACCUUUUUUUAUACUAGCAACACUACAAAGGAGAAGUUACUCAUUUCAAAAUGGAUGAAUUGUUAUUAUGUGUGAAGAGACUCUGAGUUUAUGAUCUGUGCCAUAAAAUUUCAGUGUAAUAAGACUUCUUCAAUACAUCUUCCAAUAAGGGGUGCUUCUUUGUGACAGUAUUUUUAUUUCUGACAUUCAUUUUAUUUGGGUACAUAGUGUGGUUGUUGAUACCUUGCAAUAGUAUUGCUUCUGAAAGUAAUAAAAAAUUUUAGGAGAAUUUGAGAAGUUUACAGAAUUACUUAUUCAUUGUUUUCUUAGUAAGUCAGUUUAAUGUUUAUUUUUCUCAUUAUUUCAUCACUGCAAUAAAGAAUAAGGGUGUUUGAGCUCACCUCCAUGCAAAGACUUCAGUUUUAAAACAUUAUUUGCCUAAAAUUAGCAUUGUGAUGCUUUCUGAAAGAAAUAUUUUAUAAAUCCUGUUUAACAGCAGAAUUUCUGAAUGUGUAGAGACUACUACAAAAUUGGAAAAAG